AGAGUGAACGCUGGCGGCAGGCCUAACACAUGCAAGUCGAACGGCAGCACAGCAGUAGCAAUACUGCGGGUGGCGAGUGGCGGACGGGUGAGGAAUACAUCGGAAUCUACCUUGUCGUGGGGGAUAACGUAGGGAAACUUACGCUAAUACCGCAUACGCACUACGGUGGAAAGCGGCGGACCGCAAGGCGUCGCGCGAUUGGAUGAGCCGAUGUCCGAUUAGCUAGUUGGCGGGUAAAGGCCCACCAAGGCGACGAUCGGUAGCUGGUCUGAGAGGAUGAUCAGCCACACUGGAACUGAGACACGGUCCAGACUCCUACGGGAGCAGCAGUGGGAAUAUGGACAAUGGGCGCAAGCCUGAUCCAGCCAUGCCGCGUGUGUGAAGAAGGCCUUCGGGUUAGUAAAGCUACGUUUGGUACCGGAAAAGAAACGCGAAGUUUCGGUUAACGUACCCGGGUUGUUCGUAGACCGGUAACCGAAG
rnacentral:rRNA from 1 species